CUUGUUGGGGUUGUAGGACACUCUAUACGGAGUUACAAAGGACGACAUUAGACGAAUCAUCUGGAAAGAUGAAUCAAAGAAGGUAAUAAUCCUGUAGUCGAAAAUGUUGUCUCUCUUGAGUGGAUCCUGAGUACGACGGAGCACGUGAAAUUCCGUCGGAAUCUGGGAGGACCAUCUCCUAAGGCUAAAUACUCUCUAGUGACCGAUAGUGAACCAGUACCGUGAGGGAAAGGUGAAAAGCACCCCGGGAGGGGAGUGAAAUAGAACCUGAAACCGUGUGCUUACAAGUAGUCAGAGCCCGUUAAUGGGUGAUGGCGUGCCUUUUGUAGAAUGAACCGGCGAGUUACGAUUUGAUGCAAGGUUAAGCAGUAAAUGUGGAGCCGUAGCGAAAGCGAGUCUGAAUAGGGCGUUUAGUAUUUGGUCGUAGACCCGAAACCAGGUGAUCUACCCUUGGUCAGGUUGAAGUUCAGGUAACACUGAAUGGAGGACCGAACCGACUUACGUUGAAAAGUGAGCGGAUGAACUGAGGGUAGCGGAGAAAUUCCAAUCGAACCUGGAGAUAGCUGGUUCUCUCCGAAAUAGCUUUAGGGCUAGCCUCAAGUGAUGAUUAUUGGAGGUAGAGCACUGUUUGGACGAGGGGCCCCUCUCGGGUUACCGAAUUCAGACAA
rnacentral:rRNA from 1 species